GCCUUCGUGGUGUAAUUAAUGAUCAGCACACUCGGCUCGUACUCCAGAGGUCCGAGGUUGUAGUCCCGGUGGAGGCA
rnacentral:tRNA from 1 species